rnacentral:rRNA from 1 species
AUGUGGACCUGUCUUCGUCAGCGCUAUGAGCCCUCUGGUGAUGCCUUAUACCUUUCUGUUGUUCGUCAGGAGCAUGCUCUUCAGCAAGGUGACUCUACUAUUGAUGACUUUUAUGCACAAAGUUCUGCUAUCUGGCGCCAGCUUGAUUCUCUCCGCAGUGCUGGUUGUCGUACUUGCCCCUGCUGCCAGGCUGUCCAGGCCAAUUUGGAGUUUCAUCUCGUCUACGAGUUCCUGUCUCGGCUCCGUAAGGAGUUUGAGCCCUGGCGUGCUCAGUUGUUUGCUCGUGGCCGUAUUUCUCUCAUGGAGGCGCUUUCGGAGAUUCGUGCUGAGGAGACUCGCUUACGUGGUGCUGGUUUGCUGGAGGUUCCCUCUGUGCUCGCUACUCGGGCUUCUUCCACUCCACCUGCUGCACCGACCCAUUCUCGCUCAAGUGCUCCGCCGCUCUUGCCCACUCCUUCUCGAGGCUCAGGUCGCCCCCGUCCACAUUGUGACUACUGCAACAAUGAUGGUCAUAUUGAGUCCCAGUGCUACACAAAGCGGAAACACCUGCGCAAGGCGCGAUCAUCAUCCUCAGGGACUUCGUCAUCUCCCUCGACAGCUUCAGCCAUUGCUUUGACUGAGCAGGAUAUUCUGAGACUUAAGCGUCUGCUCGCGGCUUCAGGUUCUUCCUCGACGGGUACUGCUGGUUCUGUGACUGAUGCUUCCCGCACUGAGCAACCGCCCUCUACAUAG